rnacentral:misc_RNA from 1 species
GAUGAAGAACGUAGAGAAAUGCGAUAAGUAAUGUGAAUUGCAGAAUUCAGUGAAUCAUCGAAUCUUUGAACGCACAUUGCGCCCGCCAGUAUUCUGGCGGGCAUGCCUGUUCGAGCGUCAUUACAACCCUCAGGCCCCCGGGCCUGGCGUUGGGGAUCGGCGGAGCCCCCCGUGGGCACACGCCGUCCCCCAAAUGCAGUGGCGGUCCCGCCGCAGCUUCCAUCGCGUAGUAGCUAACACCUCGCGACUGGAGAGCGGCGCGGCCACGCCGUAAAACACCCAACUCUUCUGAAGUUGACCUCGAAUCAGGUAGGAAUACCCGCUGAACUUAAGCAUAUCAAUAAGCGGAGGA